rnacentral:rRNA from 1 species
AGAGUUUGAUCCUGGCUCAGAAUCAACGCUGGCGGCGCGCCUAACACAUGCAAGUCGGACGAGAAAGUGGAGCAAUCCAUGAGUACAGUGGCGUACGGGUGAGUAACACGUGGAUAACCUGCCCUUUAGUGGGGAAUACCGAUGGGAAACCGUCGACAAUACCGCAUAAUCUCGAGAGAGGAAAGCAGCAAUGCGCUGAAGGAGGGGUCCGCGGUCGAUUAGCUAGUUGGUGAGGUAAUGGCUCACCAAGGCUGUGAUCGAUAGCCGGCCUGAGAGGGCACACGGCCACACUGGCACUGAAACACGGGCCAGACUCCUACGGGAGGCAGCAGUGGGGAAUCUUGCACAAUGGGGGAAACCCUGAUGCAGCGACGCCGCGUGAGCGAUGAAGCCCUUCGGGGUGUAAAGCUCUUUCGGCAUGGAAGAUGAUGACGGUACCUGCAGAAGCAGCUGCGGCUAACUACGUGCCAGCAGCCGCGGUAAUACGUAGGCAGCAAGCGUUGUUCGGAGUUACUGGGCGUAAAGGGUGCGUAGGCGGUUCUGUAAGUAUGGUGUGAAAUCUCCCGGCUUAACUGGGAGGGUGCGCUAUAAACUGCGGGACUAGAGUGUGGGAGAGGAAAGUGGAAUUCCUGGUGUAGCGGUGAAAUGCGUAGAUAUCAGGAGGAACACCGGCGGUGUAAACGGCUUUCUGGACCAUAACUGACGCUGAGGCACGAAAGCGUGGGUAGCAAACAGGAUUAGAUACCCUGGUAGUCCACGCCCUAAACGAUGCAUAUUUGGUGUGGGUCAUUCAGUUGAUCCGUGCCGGAGCUAACGCGUUAAAUAUGCCGCCUGGGGAGUACAGUCGCAAGGCUGAAACUCAAAGGAAUUGACGGGGGCCCGCACAAGCGGUGGAGCAUGUGGUUUAAUUCGACGCAAUGCGAAGAACCUUACCUGGGCUCGAAAUGCUAUGGACCAGCUGGUGAAAGCCGGCCUUCCCGCAAGGGACCGUAGUAUAGGUGCUGCAUGGC